UUCGACUAGGGGGUCAUCCCGACUUACCAACUCGAUGCAAACUACGAAUACCGAAGAAUGUUAUCACGGGAGACACACGGCGGGUGCUAACGUUCGUCGUGAAGAGGGAAACAACCCAGACCGCCAGCUAAGGUCCCAAAGUCAUAGUUAAGUGGGAAACGAAGUGGGAAGGCUCAGACAGCCAGGAUGUUGGCUUAGAAGCAGCCAUCAUUUAAAGAAAGCGUAAUAGCUCACUGGUCGAGUCGGCCUGCGCGGAAGAUGUAACGGGGCUAAACUAUGCACCGAAGCUGCGGCAGCGAUAUUUAGAUAUUGUUGGGUAGGGGAGCGUUCUGUAAGCCUGUGAAGGUGURCUGUGAGGYAUGCUGGAGGUAUCAGAAGUGCGAAUGCUGACAUAAGUAACGAUAAUGCGGGUGAAAAACCCGCACGCCGGAAGACCAAGGGUUCCUGUCCAACGUUAAUCGGGGCAGGGUGAGUCGACCCCUAAGGCGAGGCAGAAAUGCGUAGUCGAUGGGAAACGGGUUAAUAUUCCCGUACUGGUGAUAAUUGCGAUGGGGGGACGGAGAAGGCUAGGCUAUCCGGGCGACGGUUGUCCCGGUUUAAGGAUGUAGGC
rnacentral:rRNA from 1 species